AUGGUUUCUCACCAUCGUUCCAGAUCAUUGCGCCGCCAAGCAAGUCUUCUCCAUCCCUCCUUCCGGCGUGCACCGCGAGAAGGGACAGCAGGCCUCCGGAACCCCGCCUCUCGUGAUCCUGUAUGGGAGAGGGGCGAUCAGGUUUUUGAGGAGCGCACUCGCACGACUGCUGCCAGCGACGACUUCGCGAACGACGACUUCUUCCCCGACCUCGGCAACCUCGUCCUCGACGACAUGGGCGACAACGUCAACGCCGGCGGUGCUGCACCCGCUGCACCGCAAUUUACUCCGAGUGAUUUUGCUGCGCAUCUGAAGCCGCCUGCCUUUAAGGGGGCGCAAUAUAAGAGGUGGCGCACGAGAGCAGUCUACUGGUUUCAGACCAUGGGCUGCUAUGAUGCCACCAAGGGCAAGCCUGAGGGCGAUCUUAAUCCAGCACAGCUGGAAGCUUUUGAGAAGAUCGAUACCCUCUUUAAAGGUGCUCUUCUGAGUGUUCUUGAUGACUCCAUUGUGGAUUUGUAUAUGUCGUUUGACAACGGCAAGGACAUGUGGGCUGCGCUCGAAGCCAAGUUUGGUGCCUCAGACGCCGGCAGCGAGUUGUACGUCAUGGAGCAAUUCUAUGACUACAAGAUGACUAAUGAGCGCCCUGUUGUACAGCAGGCUCAUGAGAUACAGUCGCUCGCAAAAGAACUUGAGUACUUCAAGUGUGUGUUGCCGGAGGCAUCAUUGCCAAGCUUCCACCUUCGUGGAACAAUUUUGCUACUUCUCUGA
rnacentral:rRNA from 1 species